rnacentral:tRNA from 1 species
UGCCCCUGUGAUGCAAUUGGGAAGACAUCGCUUACUUAAAAUAAGCGUCUUGCUGGUUCGAGUCCAGUCGGGGGUAU